rnacentral:misc_RNA from 1 species
UACCCUUGACAUGCCAGGAACCCUCCAUCUCUGGAGGGUUCCUGGCAUGUCAAGGGUAGGUAAGGUUUUUCGCGUUGCAUCGAAUUAAUCCACAUAAUCCACCGCUUGUGCGGGUCCCCGUCAAUUCCUUUGAGUUUUAACCUUGCGGCCGUACUCCCCAGGCGGUCAACUUCACGCGUUAGCUUCGUUACCAAGGAAUUGCUUCCCCGACAACCAGUUGACAUAGUUUAGGGCGUGGACUAC